rnacentral:snRNA from 1 species
AUUACUUCUCAGCCUUUUGGCUAAGAUAAAGUGUAGUAUCUCUUCUUAUCAGUUUAAUAUCUGAUAUGUUGUCUCUCUCUGAGGACAACCUAUUAAAUGUAUUUUUGGAGCAGGAUGUUGGGAGAGGAACUUGCUCCAUCCACUCCACCACUCUAUGCAUCGACCAGGUAUUGCAGCACCUCCAGGAAUAAAACCAAA